rnacentral:rRNA from 1 species
CAGUAGCCGCGGUAAUACAGAGGAUGCAAGCGUUAUCCGGAAUGAUUGGGCGUAAAGCGUCUGUAGGUGGCUUUUCAAGUCCGCCGUCAAAUCCCAGGGCUCAACCCUGGACAGGCGGUGGAAACUACCAAACUGGAGUACGGUAGGGGCAGAGGGAAUUUCCGGUGGAGCGGUGAAAUGCGUUGAGAUCGGAAGGAACACCAACGGCGAAAGCACUCUGCUGGGCCGACACUGACACUGAGAGACGAAAGCUAGGGGAGCAAAUGGGAUUAGAUACCCCUGUAGUCCCUGUCUCUUAUAC